CAACAUUUGCCUAUCAAAACUUGUCCUGUGAUUUACAAAACUAGAACCUCACUGCCCCACCAAAAGAUGAAGUGGCCCCCAGACCCCAGGUCUAACAUAAGAACCAUAUGCUAUUGUGCUCUUUCGAGCUCUACUCCUAGAUCUUGAUAGAAUUCUUGACAACUUGAAUGGUGAUUGGUGCUUCUUCAAAGACUUGAAGAUUGAGAGCAUGUUGAAGGGUAUGAAUUUAAAAAUAAUUGUGAUCACAUCGUCAUCAUUGAUUCUUGUACCUCUUCAGUGUGCUAAAUUCAACACAGAGGUAUGGACGUGGGAGAAGUAAAAGGAAACUGAGAAGUAAAAAUUUGCAAAGGAUGUCUCUUGAGGACAGACUCAUAUUUACCAUGAUUACAUCCAUCUCUUUGCUGCUAGAAGAUUUCCGUGCCAUUUA